AAAUAUAUUCAGCUAAUUUUAUUUUUGACGGGAAGUGAAAUUUAUAAUAAUUUAGUAAGAUUAAAUAUAAUAUAUUAAUUUAGAAGCUAUAAAAAUUUGGGUUUAGACUAGGAUUAGAUACCCUAUUAUUCCAUUUAUAUAAUUUUUGCUUGAGUAGUAAUCAGUUAUGUUCUUGAAACUUAAAAGAUUUGGCGGUAUUCAAGUCUGUUUAGAGGAGCCUGCUCUGUUAACGAUACACCACGAAAUAUCUUACUUUUUCUUGUUUAUCUCAGUAUGUAUACCGCCAUUGUAAAAUAAUAUUUUAAAAUAAAUAUUUGAAUAGAUUUUUUCUAAUAUAUUAGGUCAAGGUGCAGCCUAUGUUAAAGUUGUAGUGGGCUACAAUAUAAUUUAUAUUAGCGGAGAGUAAGUUGAACAAUAUUCUUGAAGUUGGAUUUAAUAGUAUGCUUGUUUUAAUAAGUCAAGUUGAUGUUGCCCUAGAAUAUGUACAUAUCGCCCGUCGCUCUCAUUA
rnacentral:rRNA from 1 species